rnacentral:tRNA from 1 species
GGAUCAGUGGUGUACAAGGUGUGCAUGUUUGUCUGAAAAACAAAAGGGAGCCGUUCGAUUCGUUUCUGAUCCA